rnacentral:rRNA from 1 species
GACGAACGCUGGCGGCGUGCCUAAUACAUGCAAGUAGAACGCACAGUUUAUACCGUAGCUUGCUCCACCAUAGACUGUGAGUUGCGAACGGGUGAGUAACGCGUAGGUAACCUGCCUGGUAGCGGGGGAUAACUAUUGGAAACGAUAGCUAAUACCGCAUAAUAUUAAUUAUUGCAUGAUAAUUAAUUGAAAGGUGCAAUUGCAUCACUACCAGAUGGACCUGCGUUGUAUUAGCUAGUAGGUGAGGUAACGGCUCACCUAGGCGACGAUACAUAGCCGACCUGAGAGGGUGAUCGGCCACACUGGGACUGAGACACGGCCCAGACUCCUACGGGAGGCAGCAGUAGGGAAUCUUCGGCAAUAGACGAAAGUCUGACCGAGCAACGCCGCGUGAGUGAAGAAGGUUUUCGGAUCGUAAAGCUCUGUUGUAAGAGAAGAACGGGUGUGAGAGUGGAAAGUUCACACUGUGACGGUAUCUUACCAGAAAGGGACGGCUAACUACGUG